rnacentral:rRNA from 1 species
GCAUAUCAAUAAGCGGAGGAAAAGAAAAUAACAAUGAUUCCCUCAGUAACGGCGAGCGAAGAGGGAUAAGCUCAAAUUUUAAAUCUGUUGGGUUCCACUUAACAGAGUUGUAUUUUGAAGAAACGUUUUCUGCGUCCAGGAUUAGCCUAAAUCCUUUGGGAUAAGGUAUCAUGGAGGGUGAGAAUCCCGUUCAUGGUUAAUCUUAAGGAAGCUCUACGAUACGUUUUCAAAGAGUCGAGUUGUUUGGGAUUGCAGCUCAAAAUGGGAGGUAAAUUUCUCCUAAGGCUAAAUAUUGGCGAGAGACCGAUAGCGAACAAGUACCGUGGGGGAAAGAUGAAAAGAACUUUGAAAAGAGAGUUAAACAGUACGUGAAAUUGUUGAAAGGGAAACGAUUGAAGUCAGUCAUACCAACGGGAAAUCAACCUUUUGAGCUUGGUCUCGUGGGUUUUGAAGAGUUUCAAAGCCUUCGGAUUCGCGGGAUUGGGAUCUCUUGGUGUACUUUUUCGUACGGUUAGUCAACAUCGGUUUUGAAUGUCAUAAAAUGACUGGAGGAAUGUAGCUUCGAUCUCGUAUUGAAGUGUUAUAGCCUUUAGUAGAUGUGAUGUUUGAGACCGAGGAUUGCAACGGAUACCCUUCAGGGCUAUUCGUCUGAUCUCUGAUACGUUGCCUUGAUGUUGAAAGCUUGCUUAUGAUGUUAGGGUAUUACGGUCAAAAGGUUAGAACGAAUUACAUUCGUUAAGGAUGUUGACGUA